ACUACAGCAUAUUGCUAGGCCAGGUUUAUCUGAGUGCUCAGGGCUGAAGCACUUCUUGGGACUUGCCUUUCCAGCACAGAUAGCACUUUGAACUGGCAAAGGGUAGGUGAUUGACAUCAGACAGAAGGUCUGAUUUCAUCAAGGCUUUGGCAUGCCACUUGCUGGAAAAUGUAUUCCAAUAAGUACCACCCAGAGUUAUUAAAUGUGGCACUGAAGGGUGACCAAAGUUCCUGCCAAGGAACUGCCACUCUGGACUGGUUUGGUCUCUGCUCCUACAGGCAGGCCUGAUGUUAGACAUCAAUGGGAAAAGCAUUUGACACGGCUGAGUGCAUUUGUCUUCUCCAACGUGCAAACUAGAGACCAGCUAUUUUCUGCUCAGCAUGGAAAGGAAACAGGAGAACUGAGACCACAACACCCACGUCUGUGAAGCUCCUUUGCAGGUGCAACCUUGCACUGAGGAAUUCAUGCUCAUUGUGCCAUGGAGAAUAUGACUUCAACUUCUGCGGGAGGAGCUUUCAAGCAGCUGGAAAAAAGUUCAGACUUGGGAUCCUGAUGAGCCAAAGCAAAGAUGGAGUUAGAGAAUAAACCCGGGAGAUUCUGGAUAUCCUGCAGUCUUUCCAUGUGACCUUGCCCAAACUUGCAAACAUUCCUUAACUGCGACGACAGCUGAACCCCAGUCAGUGCUGCUGCUGUGAAAAGCAAAAUCCUUCUGGGCUCUGAGACCAGGAAUGCUGUAGGUAAGAUGCUGAAAGGGUUUAUUGCCCUUCUCAGCACUGCAAGGCUGAACCAUGGCCUUGCACUUAAAUAAAUAAAAAAACCACCAACAGACAAACUGAAAAUUGUCCAGAGGAGAGCAACAAAAAUGAUCAGAGGUCUAGAAAACAUGACUUAUGAGGAAAGAUUGAAAGGGCUGGGUUUGUUUAGUCUACAGACUUUGAAACAUCCUAAUAAACUCUAAAGAUGUAAAAAAUAUAUGGAAUCUAAAAGGGUCAAUCGAUUGCCCUUUAUCUCUGUGGCAGAAGGUACAGCACAAAGAAGACAGUAUUAAAAGCUCUGAGGCCAAUAACACCUCAAGUUUGUUACUUGGGGAGGGAUCACAGCAGCUCAUGGCAGAUUUUCAGUGUUUUGGACAAGUACCAUGAGGGACUGGGUAACUCACUGAACCACGGAAGAGACUGGUUUCAGCCACGUGGUCCUAUGGUUUCCUUGGCCUAGUGACUGUGUCAGGGCACCUGAGGACAAGGCCUUGGAGAUGAUGAAGUUUUAGAACACUCCCUAAUUUGAAAAAAAUGUGGCAGGUGCUUAACCCUUCUAGAAGUUGCAAGAAGAAAUCUUUUUAAAAAGCCUCUUUUCCAUGGCUUCCAUGGUUAUGAAAUGAAGAGCAACAAAUUCCCACCUUUUCAUGGGGCCAUCACUGCAUUGUGAAGAACCUUGCUGCUCUCCCAUGGGGGAUUCCUAUCUAGGUGAGUACUCAAAUAUUUAGAUGAUCAGACCUCUGAAAAAGCAUGUAAAAGUGAAUCAGGUAGUAACAACCUUGCAGAUCCUGCUCCAAAAAAUAAUCUCCUGGCAAUGGAGAAAGAGGCACCUUGGCCAACCCUUGCUAGGAGUGCUUUUACAACUGCAGAGCAGUGGGGAUGGUAUUAGGUACUGGUCUAGGAGGGCCAGGUGGUGCUCAGCACCUGAUCAGAAAGGCAACAUCCCUUCUCCUCAUCACGCCCACUCAGAGCUGAGUAUCCCAUCCUGGAGCUGUGUGUGCUGCUCCCUACAAAUGACUGAGCAACUUUGCUAUCCCUCAUCUGUCUUGGAAAGCUCAACACUGUUUUCUGAUUUCAACUCCUAUUCUUCAAAGGGUCCCAAAAGUUUUGUCAGAGUUUGCAUCCAAAUUCACCACAAGACAAAAGCCUAUUAGAAAACAGGCUUUGAAUUUACUGCCCAGCAAUCCCAAAUUCCCUGAAUUAUGGGCAUGAGGUGAGAGGUUUGUGAAGGAAAGGAGCACAAGGUUGCAGCCAGAGCAGAGCUUCCCGUAGCCCUUGGCAUUUCCAAGGACCUGGGGGUCAAGUGAGGGCUCCCCAAGAGAUGGUGGAAAGAUGCUGUGUUCAAUCCUGCCACAACCCUGCUCCUUUUUGCACUCCCCAUUUCCUGCCCAGCUAUGCAAGGUACUGCUUGGUCUCACAUGAACACAGAGAAAAAUCACUAGUUAUAUGAUACGGGAAUUAAAAAAGUCUGUUUGCUUCUAAGCAUAAACCUAUGACUGAGGCAAUGGUUUGCAAACAUGGGAUUAUGGCCCCAAGUCAACUUUUUUUUCCCCUCAGUUUUGGGUACAGUCACGAGCCUGGCAGGAAUAUGUGUCAGCUAAAAUGCAUGGCAGCAACUGGCGUCUCCUGGAGUUUGGAGCUGAGUGGGGUCACAACAGGAUGGAGUUUGGGAAGGCAGCACUGCAGGGUUAGGAAUAAACAUCUCCCUGGGGCAGACUUUCCAUAAUUGGCCAUGACAAGGCUUCUUUCUCCAGAGAGCUGGAGCUGGUCUGUGAGGAAACAGGAUGAAUCACUGCUCCAGCUCAAUUUGGCAAAUGCCAUGAUUUCGUUCUGCUCUGCACAGGGAGCAGAUGAUGAUAUAGACUGAAAGACAGAACAGAAAUCUAGCCAAAGGCU